rnacentral:lncRNA from 1 species
CACAAACACAACUAGACCAACAAUAAAAUAAUAUUUUUUAAUGAUGCGACUUUCAAAUCGACGAUCGGCUCCAUUAGAUUUUAUCUACACUAUUGAAAGUAUUUGGAAACUAAAUUUCAUAAUUUUUCAAUAUCAUCCGACUAGUGAUCAAAAGAUUUCAAAAUCGACAAUUUUAAUAGUCGAUACGAUGCGUUUGUGAAUUUAACAGUGUAAAACAAUCCAAAUCUGAUGAAAUUUUUAUAAAAAAUUCUUUUCACUAUUUAGAGUAAGAUCAAUACCUUUGAUCUUAAAUUCAAGUCUUUUAUCACCAUUUUUUAUGAUAAUUUUAUUUUUAGCCGUUCAUUUUUAGACUACUCGUUUGAUAGGUAAAUGAUGUUGAAAAAUUAUGAAAUUUAGUUUUCAAAUACUUUCAAUAGUGUAGAUCAACUCUAAAGGAGCCGCUUGUUGAUUUGGAAGCUACAUCAUUGAAAACAAUUUGGUAGCACAGAGGCCUCCGUGCUACCGAUAGUAUACCAGUCUAGCUCUCUCUCUCUCUCUCUCUCUCUCUCUCUCUCUCUAUAUAUAUAUAUAUAUUAAAUAUAUAUAUAUAUAUAUAUAUAGUAAAUAUUUUUUAAAUUUAUUUCAAAUCGGGAUGCAAACGGCCGGAUCUGGUGGCGGGAGGGUUCCCCUACCUCCCGCUCCGUUUCUUGUCGGGCGGAGCGGAUUCAGGGCGGGUUAUUUUUCAUUUUAUUUUUGGCUCCCACUUACCGUCUCAUUCGAGGGUGUAUUGAAGGAAGAAAAUGGUCUAUUUUUUAACAGAUUAAUUAUAACCAUUCGUUCUUAUUUGAGAUUUUUUUAAUUAAGUGAACAGUACAUUUUUCAUUGAUACAAUCGUUUAUUGGAUUUAUAGAUGGAUAAAAAUAUUAUUUUUUUAACAGAUUAAUCAUAACCAUUCAUUUUUAUUUGAGAUUUUUUUAAUUAAGUGAUUAUAUCCUGUCGUAGGAAAUAUAGGGAAUAUAUAUAUAUAUAUUUUUUGGAUUCUUUUAUAGAUGGAUAAGAAUGUUAUUUUUUAACAGAUUAAUCAUAACCGUUUUUUCUUAUUUGAGAUUUUUUUAAUUAACUGAUCAUAUCCGUACGUAGAAAAUAUAGGAAAUAUUCUUUUAUUCUUUUUGGAUUCCGUCUAUCAUUAUCGGAAUUUCUAAACGCUUUUAUAUACUCUAUAUAGAUAUAGAGUAGGGCUACUAUACUCUUAUUAGUAUAGAAGCCUUCGUACUCAUAAGUUAUUUUCGAUGAUAGAGCUUCCGAAUCGACGAUCUACUGAGUUAAAUAUGAUAUAGAGUAUUUGAGACUUCUAGAAAAUAAAUUUUAAAAUUUUCAAAAUCAUAAUAAAGUCCAUCAAGCGGGCAUAAAAUGAACGGUCAAAAUCGAAUGACGUCCUAAAAAUGAAUGAUCGGAUCCUUUAAUUUAAGAUCGGAGUUAUUGAUAUUUAUCUAGGUAGUGAAUAGAAAUUUCUAUAAAAAAUUUAAUCAAUUCCAAUUUUUUUAUACCGUUAAACUAGCAAGUAUUCCAUACUGGUCGUUAAAAAUUGUCAAUUUUGUGACAUUUUGAUCGUAAGGUAAAUGAUGUCGAAAAAUUACAAAAUUUAAUUUCUAGAAGUUUUAAAUUAUGUAGAUAACGUUUAACGGUAUGGAUCGUCGAUUCGGAAGCUCUAUCAUCAAAAACGACUUAUGAGUACGGGACGAUCGUACUUUUAAAAGUAUAGUAGCCGGAAUAU